rnacentral:rRNA from 1 species
GUCCAGACUCCUACGGGAGGCAGCAGUGGGGAAUAUUGCACAAUGGGGGAAACCCUGAUGCAGCGACGCCGCGUGAGUGAAGAAGUAUUUCGGUAUGUAAAGCUCUAUCAGUAGGGAAGAAAAUGACGGUACCUGACUAAGAAGCCCCGGCUAACUACGUGCCAGCAGCCGCGGUAAUACGUAGGGGGCAAGCGUUAUCCGGAUUUACUGGGUGUAAAGGGAGCGUAGACGGCAUGGCAAGUCAGAUGUGAAAGCCCGGGGCUCAACCCCGGGACUGCAUUUGAAACUGUCAGGCUGGAGUGCAGGAGAGGUAAGUGGAAUUCCUAGUGUAGCGGUGAAAUGCGUAGAUAUUAGGAGGAACACCAGUGGCGAAGGCGGCUUACUGGACUGUAACUGACGUUGAGGCGCGAAAGCGUGGGGAGCAAACAGGAUUAGAUACCCCAGUAGA